rnacentral:tRNA from 1 species
GGGCCGUUAGCUCAGUUGGUAGAGCGUACGCUUCGCAUGCGUAAGAUCACCGGUUCGAUUCCGGUACGGUCCA